UACAGAGGUGGCAAGCGUUGUUCGGAAUUACUGGGCGUAAAGGGCGCGUAGGCGGCCAUCUAAGUCAGACGUGAAAUCCCCCGGCUUAACCUGGGAACUGCGUCUGAUACGUGGAAGGCUUGAGUAUGGGAGAGGGAUGUAGAAUUCCAGGUGUAGCGGUGAAAAUGCGUAGAUAUCUGGAGGAAUACCGGUGGCGAAGGCGGCAUC
rnacentral:rRNA from 1 species